UACGAAGGGGGCUAGCGUUGUUCGGAAUCACUGGGCGUAAAGCGCACGCAGGCGGAUCGUUAAGUCAGGGGUGAAAUCCCGAGGCUCAACCUCGGAACUGCCUUUGAUACUGGCGAUCUUUGAGUCCGGGAGAGGUGAGUGGAACUCCGAGUGUAGAGGUGAAAUUCGUAGAUAUUCGGAAGAACACCAGUGGCGAAGGCGGCUCACUGGCCCGGUACUGACGCUCAUGUGCGAAAGCCAGGGGAGCGAACGGG
rnacentral:rRNA from 1 species